GGGGGGGGGGGGGUUGACUCAACGUCUCAUUUUAAUACGAUAAGAAUGCACUUUAUCAGAAUGCCAAAGGCAUUUUUAUUUUAACAUUGUACUGAUCUGCCCUGGAUGUGACGUCACGUAUAUCAUUAUAAUACACUUUAAAAACAACUAUGACACCUUUUUUUAAUUUUAUUUGCAGUAAAAAAAAAAUAUGACGUUGAAUAUUUUAGGGUUAUAUUCAUAUAUGCCUAUAAGUGGAGAUGGUGCACUAUAGAUCAGUGGUUCGCAAAGCAUUUUUGCUGGGAAAAAAAAGAGAUAAAGAAGUAAAAUAAAGCACUAUGUCAUCAGUUUCUGAUUUAUUAAAGGCCUACUGAAACCCACUACUACCCACCACGCAGUCUGAUAGUUUAUAUAUCAAUGAUGAAAUAUUAACAUUGCAACACAUGCCAAUACAGCCUUUUUAGUUUACUAAAUUACAAUUUUAAAUUUCCCGGGAGUUUCGUCUUCGAAACGUCGUGUAAUGAUGACGUGUACGCAAAACGUCACGGGUUUUUAGGAAGUAUGAGCGCUGCGCACACACACAGCUAAAAGUCGUCUGCUUUAACGGCAUAAUUACACAGUAUUCUGGACAUCUGUGUUGCUGAAUCUUUUGCAAUUUGUUCAAUUAAUAUUGGAGAAGUCACAGUAGAAAGAUGGAGAUGGGAAGCUUUAGCCUUUAGUCACACAAACACACGGUAAUUCCUUGUUUAAAAUUCCUGGAGGUGAAACUUUCCUAUGGAUCAAGCGAACAUGGAUCCCUACCGAAUGUCAACCAGCAGGUGUCGGUGAGAAAAUUGUGGUUAAAAUGUUGGUUCUUACCGGAGAAAAGCUGAGCUUGUGUCGUCCAUAGCUGCCGUCGACUCCCCUGAGACACUGCCCGUCAAGACACCCGUGGACACACCCUUCCGACUAUCAGGUACUCUUUAACUCACUAAAACACUAGCAACACAAUUGAAAGAUAAGGGAUUUCCCAGAAUCAUCCUCGUAAAUGUGUUUAAAAACAUCAGAAUCCGUCCCAAUGCAAUCGCGUUUUUUUGUUUUUUUUCUAGUCCGUCGCUUAUCAAUAUCCUCAAACACAAAACUUUCAUCCUCGCUCAAAUUAAUGGGGAAAUUGCCGUUUUCUUGGUCCGAAUAGCAAUUUUUGUUGGAGGCUCCCAUUAAAAUCUAUGUGAAGAGCCCCCACACUUGAGACGUCAUCAUCUGCUACUUCCGGUACAGGCAGGGCUUUUCUCUUAACACCGAAAGUUGCAAAUUUUAUCGUGGAUGUUCUCUACUAAAUCCUUUCAGCAAAAAUAUGGCAAUAUCGCGAAAUGAUCAAGUAUGACACAUAGAAUGGACCUGCUAUCCCCGUUUAAAUAAGAGAAUCUCAUUUCAGUAGGCCUUUAAAUUGUAUAACAGUGACAAAUAUUGCUAAUUUGUGGUGGCCUUUCUUGAACUAUUUGGAAAAAAAUAUAUUAAAAAAAAAACUAAAAAAAUGUUGCAAAAUAAACAAGUGAUUCAAUUAUAAAUACAGAUUUCUACACAUAGAAGUAAUCAUCAACUUAAAGUGCCCUCUUUGGGGAUUGUAAUAGAGAUCCAUCUGGAUUCAUGAAGUUAAUUCUAAACAUUUCUUCACAAAAAAGAAAUCUUUAACAUCAAUAUUUAUGGAACAUGUCCACAAAAAAAUCUAGCUGUCAACACUGAAUAUCGCAUUGUUGCAUUUCUUUUCACAGUUUAUGAACUUACAUUCAUAUUUUGUUGAAGUAUUAUUCAAUAAAUAUAUUUAUAAAGGAUUUUUGAAUUGUUGCUAUUUUUAGAAUAUCUUACAAAAAUCUCACGUACCUCUUGGCAUACCUUCAAGUACCCCCAGGGGUACGUGUACCCCCAUUUCAGAACCACUGGAAUAGAUAGUCAAAAGGAAUAAGCACUGCAAAGCACAAUUUUAGAAUACACCAAAGUUACAGAGUAGGAUAUCCAAUUCCUCUAAGGCAGGGGUCAGCCAAUCCACGGCUCGUUGAUCACUCUAUUUGUGGCUCAGUUGCAUAAUUUCCGACCCACCCCAUGCAGCAAGAAACGGCCACCACAAAAUUAUGAUUCAAACAGUUGAUACUGAUGUUGUGGUGCUGGCUGUGGCAGAGGCUCAGACUCUACAACCAGAGGAUGAGCUUUGGUUGGCUUUUGGUACUGUUGACGUGUGCGUCAGAGACGUAUUCGAAGGACGCUGCCUGGCCAAAAUGUGCUGAGUGCUUACCACAUCCUUCCGCCUUCUCUCUCCGGCUCCACAACAACUACCUCCUGACACACCCCCCCAAACCCCGCCAGCCUCCGGUGGAAGCUCUGCCCGAGGAGGCUGACUCACAAGUCCGAAGGACAACACCAGAUAUGAAGUUGGGAUUCCAGGAAGGUGAAGGCAGAGGAAGAUUCCAUGCCUGGAAGCAGACACCUCAUUGCAUAUUCACACAUAGUGAUAUGAAAUGUAAGAGCGCGAGGGGGAGGGCGCGUCCGGACAGCCCUGUGUAAGUCGCUGUGUCGAAUGAAACUAGGGACAGACAGCGCUCAGACAAAUUGUAUUAGAAUUGUAUCCAAUAGGGAAUAAAUACGUCUGAUUUUAAGUGUAUGCAUCGUGUCCUCUUUAAACAUCUUCAGGCUCCAGAUUAAAAAAAUACGACGACAUUAAGUAUUAUAUAUUUUUUUAAUUUUCCUGAGGGAACUCUCCUGAAGGAAUCAAUGCAGUACUAUCCAUCUAUCAUUCUAUCUGUUGGAUUGUUCUACAGUGUGCCUGUAAACCGUAUUUUUCGGACUAUAAGUCGCAGUUUUUUUUUCAUAAUUUGGCCAGGAGUGCGACUUUAUGUUUUAUAUGAUUUGUGUUUGCUUACUUCAUUUUGUCUUGACGCGCAAUUACAAAUAUCAGCACAACAAUUGUACCAUUAAAGAAACCUUGAACUUUGAAACGGUGAGCUAACUACACAGAAACUCACUUUAGUUUUCAAUUACAACAUCGUUUCGGAAUAGGCGCUCAAACAAAGUCCCGGUGGGCAUGUUAAGGUUACAAUAAUUGAGAUUUGUACUGAUGGUAUAACAAUCAGUCAGGGGGGAAAAAAAACACAAAAAUGAACAAAUGUGGACUUUAACCAGUCUACCUGGUUAAAGGUAGAGGACAGGGGGACGGCAUGGUGCGGUUGGGAGAAUGGCCGUGCCAGCACCCUGAGGGUUCCUGGUUCAAUCCACACCGUCUACCAACCUUGUCACAUCUGUUGUGUCCUUGAGCAAGACACUUCACCCUUGCUCCUGAUGGAGCAUGUGCAGGGAUGGGAAAGAAGAUCUACAAAAUGAGCGGAACAUUUUUAAAUCCUAAAACACCGCUUUGCGGAAGGCCGCAUAGCGGCCGCACCCGAGUUCACUCGCCUGCUAGCGGGCUCUGGGGGCAUGCAUGCCCCCCCAGAAAAUUUUUGAAAUCUAUGUUAGUUUAGGAUGCAUUUACUGCUAUUUUGAGUCAAAAUCUAACAAUAUUCUCCUGACCAAAAUUUUGCAUUUAUUAGCAAAUAUUUUCAUAAAAAUGUAUCAUGUGAUGAAAUUUAUGUAUACAAGUUUACACAUAUAUCAAAUUCUUGCACACUUUUGGAUUAUAGACAGAAAUAGGCCUACAAAUGGAUUAACCAGAAUUCAAAAUAUAAAAAUUUUGAAAUACAUGAGAUCGUGUAUUGUACCUCUGAAUGGACUCGUCCAUCGUAGAUUGGUGUGAGAGGAGGCUUCGAUAGUUGAUUUGAGGCUGCAUUUGUGACGAUGUUUGACUUCAGCUUGAAGGCAGAUCCCAGUGAAAAAUUACUCCUCCGUAAACUCACUUUACUUAGAUGCCUUGCCGAUUUCGCGUGGUCAAAGGGUGCCACCUUUCCCCGAGAUCCAUAGUUCACAAUGUCCUUGCAAUAUAAGCACUGAGUAUGUCCUGGUUCAUCGCACUUUGCAAUGAAAUCGCUGAUCAGUUUGUCUACUUGUACGAUAUUGUUGUUAAGCUUCACCUUCAGCUUGAUAGAUAUAUCGAGCCAUGGCCAGUUCCACUUGUUUCUCACGCCCUUAUCGAUAUCUUUUGCUAAUGAAGCAUUCCUAUCUUGAAUAAGCUUAACCAUGUCUGAAACUGUUUUGUCAAUAAAGAAACGUGUUAAUUGA